rnacentral:rRNA from 1 species
AGAGUUUGAUCAUGGCUCAGAUUGAACGCUGGCGGCAUGCCUUACACAUGCAAGUCGAACGGCAGCGCGGGGGCAACCCUGGCGGCGAGUGGCGAACGGGUGAGUAAUACAUCGGAACGUGUCCUGGAGUGGGGGAUAGCCCGGCGAAAGCCGGAUUAAUACCGCAUACGCUCUGUGGAGGAAAGCGGGGGAUCGCAAGACCUCGCGCUCAAGGGGCGGCCGAUGGCGGAUUAGCUAGUUGGUGGGGUAAAGGCCUACCAAGGCGACGAUCCGUAGCUGGUCUGAGAGGACGACCAGCCACACUGGGACUGAGACACGGCCCAGACUCCUACGGGAGGCAGCAGUGGGGAAUUUUGGACAAUGGGGGAAACCCUGAUCCAGCAAUGCCGCGUGUGUGAAGAAGGCCUUCGGGUUGUAAAGCACUUUUGUCCGGAAAGAAAUCCUGAUGGCUAAUAUCCGUUGGGGAUGACGGUACCGGAAGAAUAAGCACCGGCUAACUACGUGCCAGCAGCCGCGGUAAUACGUAGGGUGCGAGCGUUAAUCGGAAUUACUGGGCGUAAAGCGUGCGCAGGCGGUUCGCUAAGACCGAUGUGAAAUCCCCGGGCUUAACCUGGGAACUGCAUUGGUGACUGGCGGGCUAGAGUAUGGCAGAGGGGGGUAGAAUUCCACGUAGCAGUGAAAUGCGUAGAGAUGUGGAGGAAUACCGAUGGCGAAGGCAGCCCCCUGGGCCAAUACUGACGCUCAUGCACGAAAGCGUGGGGAGCAAACAGGAUUAGAUACCCCCGUAGUCC